UUUGAAAGAGGAAAGUAGAUAUAUGUAACAUGAUAUGUUACAAGCAUCCCAUAGAGUCUGCAUAGUCAGGAUUGGAUAUGCUAAUAAUGAAUGAAAAUGCAUGAAAGUGGAAAGUACAUAUAUGUAAUAUAUGUUACAAACAUGGGCUCGGUUAUCACAACAUGUUGGUGUCAGGAUCAGCAUUUGAAAAUUUCAACCUCAAGUUAUCAGUCAUUAUACUCUGGAUUUUAAAAUGAUUUUAAUACAGAAACACAUAUUACCUGUCUUUGGUACCCACAUUCUGUAAAUUCAGAAUAGCAUUGAACAAUCUGAAGAUACAUACCUCGAACAAGGUAAUUGCCUAAAAUUGUUGCUAUAACUUUAGUCUGUAUACAUUAUGUCAGAAAUAUUUGUGAUGAAAAAGGUCAUCUCAGUUUUGAAGACCUAAAAAAGCGGUACAAAAUAGAAAUAAUUCAAAUGGAUCUUAUGGAAACAAAUUUGGAAAUUUGACUAUAAAUUGUA